GCUCUCUCCAUGUCGUAAGUUACACAAGAAGAAGCUCUGAGGAGUGAAUCCACAAUACAGUUCAAAGAGAGAUUUAAAUUGCUAAUUUCCCGGCACUGGAAUGUGGGGAAAGAUUGUCACAGAUUUAGCAUGAAAGCCAUGUAUUUAACAUUCCUAUGUAAUAACCCUCUCUUAAAUUGCAUUUUGGUUUGAGAAACAGCAAGAACAAAUUCAG
rnacentral:lncRNA from 10 species